UGCAGGGAAGUGUUUCUGGAUGGGUUCAGGAAGCAGUGAUGGCUCGCAAAGCUAAGAUCUUGUUGUCAUAUCUGUGCCAUAAAAAACAUGGCAUGACUCAACAAGUAUUAAAAAGCUGAUCUUUGCCUGGAAACAUGGAAGACUUGGGUCCAUUCUACUGAAUUCUUUUCAACAUGCAUAUUUAAAUGACGCUAGUGUGGAGUAAAUACAUUUCAAGAUAAAUUCUUCAGAGAGGUUCCUUUGGAGCUCUGGCUUGAUUGGAACUGUGUGGGUGAAAGGAACCAGGAAGUGAUCCUGCCAUCUCCUCGGACAUUGGAAUUGACAGUGCCAGAAAUGUGUACCUGGAGAGAAACAAGUCGUUUUGGCAGCAGGCUUGCAGAUUUUCAGGUUCCUUCUAAAAGACCUUAAAAUGAUCACACUCAGCCUGCAAUACAAUAUCCAUCUUGGGUGGUAUUUUUAAAGGUGCCGAAUGAAGUUAGAUAUCUGAAUCCCAGUUGGGUGCAUAACCUCCAUAGGAAAUACUUCUAGCCAUUCUAGUUUUCUCAGUGCACCAGGAGACUAUUGGGAGAAUUAGCCCAGGGGUAUAUGGAUGUUUUCAUAGUUCUGGUAACACUCAGUGAUGGCUGCGUUAUGAACAGAGAAAAACCAAGACAUUCUGUCUUCAACCUAGUAGGAGCUUGGGGUCAGGGACUGUUUUGGAACAUGAUAAGCACAUUGUUGGUAUAUAACAGAAAAUAAUU